rnacentral:rRNA from 1 species
GACGAACGCUGGCGGCGUGCCUAAUACAUGCAAGUCGAACGAAGCUUUUUUAACUGGUGCUUGCACCGACUUAAACAACUGAGUGGCGAACGGGUGAGUAACACGUGGGUAACCUGCCCCAAAGCGGGGGAUAACAUUUGGAAACAGAUGCUAAUACCGCAUAACCACAGAAACCACAUGGUUUCUGUGUCAAAGAUGGUUUCGGCUAUCACUUUGGGAUGGACCCGCGGCGUAUUAGCUAGUUGGUAAGGUAAUGGCUUACCAAGGCAAUGAUACGUAGCGGAACUGAGAGGUUGAUCGGACACAUUGGGACUGAGACACGGCCCAAACUCCUACGGGAGGCAGCAGUAGGGAAUCUUCCACAAUGGACGAAAGUCUGAUGGAGCAACGCCGCGUGAGUGAAGAAGGUUUUCGGAUCGUAAAACUCUGUUGUCAGAGAAGAACGUGUGCGAGAGUAACUGUUCGUGCAGUGACGGUAUCUGGCCAGAAAGCCACGGCUAACUACGUGCCAGCAGCCGCCGUAA